GUCCGAGUGACGAAGUGGUUAUCGUGCCGUUCUUAUAAUGCGGAAGUCGUGAGUUCGAUCCUCACCUUGGACA
rnacentral:tRNA from 1 species